AACCAUAGAAACCUGCGGAGUACCUGCGGAGGGAUCAUUACACAAUAACAUAUGAAGGCUGUACGCGGCUGCGCCCUCGGGCCAGUUGGCUGAGGCUGGAGUAUUUAUUACCCUUGUCUUUUGCGCACUUGUUGUUUCCUGGGCGGGUUCGCCCGCCACCAGGACCACAUGAUAAACCUUUUUUUAUGCAGUUGCAAUCAGCGUCAGUACAACAAAUGUAAAUCAUUUACAACUUUCAAC
rnacentral:misc_RNA from 1 species